rnacentral:rRNA from 1 species
GACGAACGCUGGCGGCGUGCUUAACACAUGCAAGUCGAACGGAAAGGCCCUGCUUUUGUGGGGUGCUCGAGUGGCGAACGGGUGAGUAACACGUGAGUAACCUGCCCUUGACUUUGGGAUAACUUCAGGAAACUGGGGCUAAUACCGGAUAGGAGCUCCUGCUGCAUGGUGGGGGUUGGAAAGUUUCGGCGGUUGGGGAUGGACUCGCGGCUUAUCAGCAUGUUGGUGGGGUAGUGGCUAACCAAGGCUUUGGCGGGUAGCCGGCCUGAGAGGGUGACCGGCCACAUUGGGACUGAGAUACGGCCCAGACUCCUACGGGAGGCAGCAGUGGGGAAUAUUGCACAAUGGGCGGAAGCCUGAUGCAGCAACGCCGCGUUCGGGAUGACCGCCUUUGGGUGAUAAACCGCUUUCGCCUGUGACGAAGCGUGAGGGACGGUAAUGGGUAAAGAAGCACCGGCUAACUACGUG